UGGGCCCAAAAACUGACCCUGAUGGACGAAAGCUAGGGGAGCGAAAAGGGAUUAGAUACCCCCUGUAGUUCCUAGCUGUAAACGAUGGGACACUAGGUGUUGGCCGUAUCGACCCGGUCAGUAUCGAAGCAAACGCGUUAAGUGUCCCCGCCUGGGGAGUACGCACGCAAGUGUGAAACUCAAAGGAAUUGACGGGGGCCCGCACAAGCGGUGGAGUAUGUGGUUUAAUUCGAUGCAACGCGAAGAACCUUACCAGGGAUUGACAUCCUACGAACUCUUUUGAAAGAAAGGGGUGCCUUCGGGAGCGUAGAGACAGGUGGUGCAUGGCUGUCGUCAGCUCGUGUCGUGAGAUGUUGGGUUAAGUCCCGCAACGAGCGCAACCCUCGUCCUUAGUUGCCAUCAUUAAGUUGGGCACUUUAAGGAGACUGCCGGUGACAAACCGGAGGAAGGUGGGGAUGACGUCAAGUCAUCAUGCCCCUUACAUCCUGGGCUACACACGUACUACAAUGCUACGGACAAAGGGCAGCCAACUAGCGAUAGUGCGCAAAUCCCAUAAACCGUGGCUCAGUUCAGAUUGCAGCUGCAACUCGCCUGCAUGAAGGCGGAAUCGCUAGUAAUCGCAGGUCAGCAUACUGCGGUGAAUACGUUCCCGGGCCUUGUACACACCGCCCGUCACAUCAUGGAAGUUGGCCACGCCCGAAGUCGUUACCCCAACCUUAGGGAGGGGGACGCCGAAGGCAGGGCUGAUGACUGGGGUGAAGUCGUAACAAGGUAACC
rnacentral:rRNA from 1 species